UACGAAGGGGGCUAGCGUUGCUCGGAUUGACUGGGCGUAAAGGGCGCGUAGGCGGUUUGCACAGUUGGACGUGAAAUUCCUGGGCUCAACCUGGGGGCUGCGUUCAAUACGUGUGAGCUUGAGUUCGGAAGAGGGUCGUGGAAUUCCCAGUGUAGAGGUGAAAUUCGUAGAUAUUGGGAAGAACACCGGUGGCGAAGGCGGCGACCUGGUCCGAUACUGACGCUGAGGCGCGAAAGCGUGGGGAGCAAACAGG
rnacentral:rRNA from 1 species